AAUGCAUAUUGAUGAUAUAAGUUAAAAUGAGAUAUAGAAUGCAUGAUGAACAAGUUAUAUAAUGCUACAUAAUUACAUGAAAGCAUGUGAGCAUAAUGGAUAGAAUGCAGGUUGACAUUGUGAGAUUAAAUGUGCAUGAGAACUAGGUUGAUAACCCUAGAAUGAUUAAAGUAAAUGAUGCUAUGCUAAAGUAUAAGUGAUAAGCAUGAUAUAAGAAUAGUAAAUGCAAGUGCAUGUUUAGAAUGCUAAGUAAGGAACAUAUAUAGGUGGACAUGAAUAAACCUAUAGAUCGAGUGGCAUUAAACCUAGUGUCGAGGACAUAGGUUAAACAAAUGUGAUGUUGAACCUAAUGUAAAGAACAUAGGUUAAAUAGGAGUGAUGUUGAACCUAAUGUAAAGAACAUAGGUUAAAUAGGAGUGAUGUUAAACCUAAUGUAAAGAACAUAGGUUGUGAAAUAAAAGCUACUUAACCUAGAGUCAAGUGAACCUAGGUUGGAAAAGAAUGAUGAUCGUAGUGUAAUAAACCUGGGCUAAGAAUGUGAAAGCAAUAAACCUUAAGUAAUAACUUAGGUUGUGUAAAGGAUAAUGAACCUAGAGUCAAUUGGACCUAGGAGAUAAAUGCUUAGACCUAGCGAGGUCAGUUCCAUAGGGUUAAGACCAACCCUUGGUCAAUGUGAUAUGGAUUCCGGAAUCCCAAAGCUUGCUGCUACACCCAAAGUGGUGUCGGGUGUGUGCGACGAUUUCGCCGCCCAGCGGCUAGAGAACCAUUGUCGUGGCGUGUGUGCGACGAUUUCGCCGCCGGAUGGUUAGCCAGUUUGUAGAUCCUACCGCCUGUUGACUGAACCACUGUCGUGGCGUGUGUGCGACGAUUUCGCCGCCGGGUGACUAAGUCAUAGACCUAGGCCGUUGUUGGGUGAGGUGCGAUUCGUUCGCCGCCAGACGGCUAGGACAGGAGUACGGUGAGCUGUUGCCAUCUGAGGUGCAUGUGAGAGUUCCUUCACCUCGAGCUAGACAGUGCGCGGACUAUCCGCGAUUGAUUGACUCAAGACCGAGUCGGGUGGCUUUGUUGACUAAGGUAAAGUGACCUUAGAGUAGAAUGCCAAAGGCUAAGAUAUAGCAUGGUUCAAGAAUGUUAAGAGUAAAGAAUAGCUAAAGAACAAAGAGUGGCUAAAGAAUAAUGAAUAGCUAAAGAAAGGAAUAGCUAAGAGCUAAAAGUAACCAUCAAAUGGCAAAGAGUAAAGAAUGAUUAAGAACAUAAGUAGUGUUAAAGUAACCUACUUGCAUGAUUCCAGAUAUUGCAUAUUGCAUUUCGUGAGGCAGGACAUGUAUUUCAAUUGAAUAUAUAUAUCUGUUGUAUAUUGUUGAUCUAACAUGUUGCAGUGCCUCGUUAGACCUGUUGGCUGAGCUUGUUCUCUUGGGUGGCUAAACCCACUGAGGACUAUGGACAAUAGUCUCACCCCCGUGUUGCUGUUUUGGGGGUACAGGUACACACGUGUGCGGCGCGGCGGCGCAAGGCGAGGAUGUAGUUCUGCAGAUAGCGUCCUACCCAGAGACUGAGAUAGCAGUAUCCGAGUUGGUGGUCUAGCUUGGGAGGUUUAAAGAUAAGAACAAACUUUUAUUUAAGUUGUAAAAGAAUCUGUAAUAAUUAUGAUUGUAUUUGGAGGUUGAUUGUAAAAGAAAAAUUAUGUUGUAAAAUGCAUCUAAGUUGAAUGCUGUAAUAACUUAGUAGUUUAUGUUUUUGAUACUCCUUAUGCAAUCUAUGGUUGAAUAUCUGUUCCUGGUUGG
rnacentral:lncRNA from 1 species